AGAGGAUCCGCCCCAUGCGCUGUCUUUAUUCCCUUCAGUCACAAGCAGCCCUGCCCAGCCGUGUCCUGGCAUUGCAAAGGCCGAAUUGCAACGUCCUUCCUAGAAAGUCUUUGGAAAGCUGGGUUAAUCUCUCUUCCAUCCUGCAGACUGAUCUUCUAUCACUGGCUGAUUUUCAAUUGGAUUGCCCUCAGAAUCAACAUGAAUUUCUAGUGGGAAGCUGAGACAAUGAAGAAACAGUAAACAGGUGGAUGAUGAUGGUGGUGGGACUCACCAGGGAACAUAAAUUUAAGAUGCCAGAAGGUGCCAGACUCAGGGUUACAACGUGACCAUCUCACCGAGGGGUUUCAAAGCUGGGGCAGCUCAUAGCUCAGUUUACCACUUCUGUCAGGAGAAAGAAAAGAAGAUGGCCAUGGUGGAUGGCUGGACAGUACCCAUCUGACGUAACUUUAGCUGAAUCACACUUCUGAGAAAGAAAGAAAACAAUGUAAAAUGUAUGUAUUCCUAUUCAGUAUCAAAGAAAGAAGUGGAAAUACAUUAGAAAAUCUUUCCAGUUCUCAUACUAGCAGUUACACUAGCAAUCAUUUUUAACAUGGCAAAUAAAAUAAAUACAUAUAAGGAUUUAAAAUUUAAAUUGUUGGUCAAAAAACAAUGUCAUUGUAGCUUUAAAAGGUUUCUGUAUUAAAACUGCAUCAUUUUUAUUUGCAAAGAAAAAAUGAUAUCAACAAUGAACAGAUUCCAUGAUUUUUAAGGUAAACCAUAAGUUUUGUGCGGCUAAAAUAAACACUUUCUUAUAUCAAUGAAAGGUAAAUAUAUGAAAAUAAUCUUUCGCCAUUGCUGUAAGAUUUCCGUGGAAAGUAUAAUUUAUAUUAAAAAAGUUAUUUGGUAAAAAUAAAAACCAAAUUAGUUAAUGGAUCAAAAACAAGAAAAAAACAACUUUGCACAGAGUGGAAAACAAGC